rnacentral:rRNA from 1 species
AUUGAACGCUGGCGGCAGGCCUAACACAUGCAAGUCGAGCGGUAGCACAGAGAGCUUGCUCUCGGGUGACGAGCGGCGGACGGGUGAGUAAUGUCUGGGAAACUGCCUGAUGGAGGGGGAUAACUACUGGAAACGGUAGCUAAUACCGCAUAAUGUCGCAAGACCAAAGUGGGGGACCUUCGGGCCUCAUGCCAUCAGAUGUGCCCAGAUGGGAUUAGCUAGUAGGUGGGGUAACGGCUCACCUAGGCGACGAUCCCUAGCUGGUCUGAGAGGAUGACCAGCCACACUGGAACUGAGACACGGUCCAGACUCCUACGGGAGGCAGCAGUGGGGAAUAUUGCACAAUGGGCGCAAGCCUGAUGCAGCCAUGCCGCGUGUGUGAAGAAGGCCUUCGGGUUGUAAAGCACUUUCAGCGGGGAGGAAGGCGGUAAGGUUAAUAACCUCAUCGAUUGACGUUACCCGCAGAAGAAGCACCGGCUAACUCCGUGCCAGCAGCCGCGGUAAUACGGAGGGUGCAAGCGUUAAUCGGAAUUACUGGGCGUAAAGCGCACGCAGGCGGUCUGUCAAGUCGGAUGUGAAAUCCCCGGGCUCAACCUGGGAACUGCAUUCGAAACUGGCAGGCUAGAGUCUUGUAGAGGGGGGUAGAAUUCCAGGUGUAGCGGUGAAAUGCGUAGAGAUCUGGAGGAAUACCGGUGGCGAAGGCGGCCCCCUGGACAAAGACUGACGCUCAGGUGCGAAAGCGUGGGGAGCAAACAGGAUUAGAUACCCUGGUAGUCCACGCCGUAAACGAUGUCGAUUUGGAGGUUGUGCCCUUGAGGCGUGGCUUCCGGAGCUAACGCGUUAAAUCGACCGCCUGGGGAGUACGGCCGCAAGGUUAAAACUCAAAUGAAUUGACGGGGGCCCGCACAAGCGGUGGAGCAUGUGGUUUAAUUCGAUGCAACGCGAAGAACCUUACCUGGUCUUGACAUCCACAGAACUUUCCAGAGAUGGAUUGGUGCCUUCGGGAACUGUGAGACAGGUGCUGCAUGGCUGUCGUCAGCUCGUGUUGUGAAAUGUUGGGUUAAGUCCCGCAACGAGCGCAACCCUUAUCCUUUGUUGCCAGCGGUCCGGCCGGGAACUCAAAGGAGACUGCCAGUGAUAAACUGGAGGAAGGUGGGGAUGACGUCAAGUCAUCAUGGCCCUUACGACCAGGGCUACACACGUGCUACAAUGGCAUAUACAAAGAGAAGCGACCUCGCGAGAGCAAGCGGACCUCAUAAAGUAUGUCGUAGUCCGGAUUGGAGUCUGCAACUCGACUCCAUGAAGUCGGAAUCGCUAGUAAUCGUAGAUCAGAAUGCUACGGUGAAUACGUUCCCGGGCCUUGUACACACCGCCCGUCACACCAUGGGAGUGGGUUGCAAAAGAAGUAGGUAGCUUAACCUUCGGGAGGGCGCUUACCACUUUGUGAUUCAUGACUGGGGUGAAGUCGUAACAAGGUAACCGUAGGGGAACCUGCGGCUGGAUCACCUCC